rnacentral:rRNA from 1 species
AACGUAGGACGCGAGCGUUAUCCGGAGUUACUGGGCGUAAAGCGCGGGCAGGCGGUCUGACAAGUCUGAUGUGAAAUCACCCAGCUUAACUGGGCGAGGCCAUUGGAAACUGACAGGCUGGAGGGCAGUAGAGGUAGGCGGAAUUCCGGGUGGAGUGGUGAAAUGCGUAGAGAUCCGGAGGAACACCAGAGGCGAAGGCGGAUCUCUGGGCCUGUUCUGACGCUGAGGCGCGAAAGCUAGGGGAGCGAACAGG